rnacentral:lncRNA from 1 species
UCGCAGCACCAAAUCACCAUCCGAUGUGAGCUUCAAAGUCGCGUUGAUUUUAACAGGAUGGUCUCGGUUGGCUGACCAAACAACCUGUGGGAACGACACAGUAGGGGAUACAAUAUACGCGGCGCUGUUUGUUUGAACAAGAAAGAUGGCGAAGACAUAAGAGUCGCAUUUUCCAUUACAGUAGAAGCCACAAGCAAAUCUCUGGCCUAACGUUCCUCGUAAAAGAACGGGAAUCACAGUUGAUUUAUCCCCAAACUGAAUAGUACGUGUAGCAGAAGGAUCAUUGAUCCAUGAAGUACUGAGCUUUGCAGUUGGAUAAUCAAACUGCUUAGCUGAAAUCAAAUUUGGAGAAUUAACAAAGAACAAGAUUACGAAAAGAAGGCAAGGUGAAACCAAAUUGAAAGCCAUCAAUCUUACACAAUACUUGGUACAAAAUGGAAGUGAAACAAGCAGGGACCUCUAUAAGUAGACCUUGUUUUUGUUUCAGCCCACAGCUGUACAAAACUGAAAAUCUUAUAGCCUACUUAUCCUGCAGUACACAACAUUUGUAAACAUCACAGAUUUCGACAGUUGUAUAUGACCAGAUUUUCAGGGCAUGAUUUGAUUUUAGUUUUGCAAUUACAUCAUGACAUGGAUGCAGUAUGGAUGGAGAUUAAUUGGCACUUGCAUGCACUCCCAGUAUGGAUAGACAUGCAAUUAAAGUUGCACAGGCUGUUGACACGCACGCUUGAAUUGCGUUUUCAUUUGUCUAUAUCUAUGCAUAUGCAAUGCCAGAUAUAGAAAACCAUGUCUGCAGUGUGCGACCGUAUGUAAACAACGCGUUUCUCGCGGACGCUACGCGUGAGAAUGACAAGGCCCUGUUUCAAUGCAAAAUGUUCAUGGUUUUUGUUAAGAAUACAGUUUGCACACAUGAAUUGUAUUAUGAUAAAAACACAGGCGAAUCGUAUCACGAUACAAUAGCCCAGCUUUCUUUUAUUCAAGAAAAUUUACUCUCUACCGUGAAGAAUGUGUUAGAAUAAAGAUAUAAGAGUAAAUUUCAAUGGUGUGAUUAUGUUUUACUCCGAUCUAACGGAGCAAGGGUAUUUCUGGGUUUCUUAUAUAAUACCCUGUAUUACCUUUCCUCUCUCAAAAACCCGCGACGUUAUCACUUAUCCAUCACCCACCCAGACUCUCACUUUCUUUCAUCCCGGAAAAAAUACAGCCGCCGCCGCCGCCGCCGCGGAACCCCAACCACGGUCACCAUCCCUCUGAUCCUUCUUCAUCACCGACCAUACUCCGCCCUCACACCAUCACCAGCGUUCAAAACACGCGCAUAUGCACAAAAUUAUACAAGCAACGAGACUAAAAUUAAUCAUCAAAAUCAAGUUUUUAAACCUCCAAUUAGACCCCUUGUAAAGCCAAAUUGAGGGGUGUAUUGGAUUGGGAUUUUAAAGCAUUUUUUUGCAUUCAUAAAAUCCGUGGGUAUUCGAUUGGGAUUGUUUGAAAUCCAUUAAAAGAUUGGGAUUGUUUGAAAUCCAUUAAAAUCUUGAGGUAUUCAAUUGAAAUUUUAAAUUAUGCUACAAAAUGAUGGUAUUCAAUUGGGAUUUUUUAAAAUCCAUUAAAAUCUGAUGUUUGGAUUUUUUUGCAUUUCAUAAAAUGAUGGAUUUUGUGGCAUUCUUCAGUGUAUUUUAAGUUUUUUGAAAUCCCAUCAAAAUCAAUGGGAUUUUGAAGCCUUGUGCUUAAAUCCCAUAAACUCUGCGACAUUUUAUCAAGAAUCCGCACAAAUUUAAAAUCACACACAAUCCAUUAUAAUCCAUAGACUAAAAACAAUCCAUUAAAAUCUCAAUCGAAUACACCCCGUAACAAGUGUAGAUGUGCAACAAUCAAAGAUUGGAAUUUAGUAAUUAGGGUUUCACUCUGUGUGACAGUUGAGUAAAGUAGAAUGAAUUACCGCGCCUCUUUUUUUAGAGGGCACCUUUAUCUGUUUUUACUAUCUACCCCUUCAAUAUAAAGUUCACUUGAACUCCAGUCGCUGUAAAAUUUAGAAAAUGAGGUAAAACAUGGCCACUAUCUUUGAAAUUUACUCAAGAUAUAAUAUAUAAAAUAUUAUAAAAAUUAAUUUAACUCCAAAAUUUUUUUAAUGUAGGGUGUUAGUAUGUAUGUAGAACUCUUUAGCGGAGGUUAAAUAUGACUGACUGAUAAGUUUUAAGUUUAGAAAGUCUGUUUAGGUAACUUAUGAGUUUUUAAUUUGAUUUUGUUUCAGAUUAUUUAAUUAUGGGAAAAAGUAGCACACAAGUCUCCCUACACCUAUAAAUACUCCUAUAGGUCGUAGGGUUUUGGAUCACCUAAACACAACAUCCUUUCUCUCAAUAUCACAACCCUACCUCUCUCUGGUGAUAAUAGUUCUCUUGAUCGAUUUCUAACUCGGUGUGCCGUUCUUCUGCAACGAUAAUUGAAGGCUAUUUAUACAGUAUUAAAAAAAAUAAAAGUUGUUGCAAGCAAAGGUAGUUAUAAACCGCAAUGUGAGAAUCGACAAAUCUAAACACGGGAAAAGAAUAUAGUCUUUGACAUGAUAUUGAUGGAUGAUAGUGAUGUAUGUUUGUUGGUUAUUUUUUUAUAAUAUUUGUUUUGUUCAUCAGACAUGUUUGUUGUUAAUUUUUAUAUGAUUUAUUUUAUAAACAGGAAAAAAUUAUUCUUGCAUUAUUUGUUUGCUUCGUUUAAGCAACUUUUAAGUGAAGACUGUUCAUACAGUAUUAAAAAAUAAAUAUUGUUACAAGUAAGGGUAGUUAUAGACCAUUAUCUCACAGAUUUAAGUAAUAUGUUUUUGUGCACAAUCAAUCCAAAAAAAUUGGAGGAAGGUGACAAUAUAAGAAUACGAUUACUUUUAAAAAAAAACACAAAUAAAAUUAAGAUUCGUAGUGCUUUAAAUUGUUAAUUACGUGUAAUUUUUUUUUUUCAUUUUUUCAACAUGAAUUAUGGUCCAAUUUUGCAAUUUUAUAUAUUAGUAUUCGUAGUACAUCAAGAUUUUUAUAAUAUAAAAUUUAUUUUAUCCUAAAUAUUAAUUUUCAAUCAUUAAUAUAAUGUUUAUACACAACCACAAAAUUAUUGUAUUCUACAAUUAUUAAUAUUAAAUCAUUAAUAUAAUUUUUAUAGACCGCCGCAACGCGCGGAUUCUCAACUAGUUUUUAUUAAAAGAAGGUUAAAAAAAUUAAUUUAUUGAAAAAAUACCUCAAACUAACUUUCAGUUUUAAGUCAGUUUCUAGCUUAUCGAGUAAUUUUUGACUUUAAAGAACAAACUUUUUUUUGGAAACCCCGGUAAGCCCUCGCUUUAAGCCGGACAAACACUCCUGAAUACUUAAAUGGCAAAAAUGUAUAAAUUUCAUACAAAUUAUGACAUGAAAAAUAAACUUGUGACACAACCAACUCUACACAUAAUAGAAAUCACUCAAGUACAUUAGUGCCUCCGGAGGAGAAAAUUCAUGGAUCCACUCUCUACACCGCUUUAAGAAUCAAGUUUGCACCAUACUGUGGUUGAAGGCUUAUGACUGCAUAGGGAGCAUGUCUAUAAGAUGGCGAUAACAUAAAAGAAAAGCGCUGUAAGAUCAUUGAUAUUGCAAUUUUAGCUUCUAGCAUUGCAAAAUUUUGUCCAAUGCAUAUCCGGGGUCCUGAGCUGAAUGGGAAAUAUACUGUUUUUCCAUUUGUUGCUUUUAACACACCGUCAGAAAAUCUCGCAGGGUUGAAUUCCUUUGCAUCAUCACCCCAAAUCUCUUUGUCAUGAUGCAUUAGGAUGAUAGAUAUUUGCAGCAACACUCCAGCAGGAAGCGCUAUUUCUCCUAAUUUAAUAUCUUCAGAUGUAGUUCGAGUGAGUACAGUUCCAGAAGGAUAUAAUCUUAGAGUCUCUAGCAAAAUCAUAUUGACCUGCACAAUAAAAACAUUCAAAAGCUUUAAUAUUGCAAAAUUUUAACUUGUUAAUAUGUUUCAUCAUAACCUUUUUACCAGGGGGGUAUAAAGGACUUACAACUUUAAGGCGAUUCAACCCUUCAAGAUCCGGCUUAUUGCUUCCAAAGGCCUGCAAAACCUCUUCUCUAGCGCGUUUUUGCCAAUAUGAAUGCUGACUCAAUAAAAUCAUUGUCCAAAUAAGAAGAUUUGAGGUCGUCUCUUGUCCAACAAAAUAGAAUAGCUUGCAUUCUUCGAUGAUAUCAUUAACACUCAUUGCAUAUUUCAUGUUUUUGUUUUCUUUAAUUUCUGCAGAAUUUGAUUCCAGCAAUUGGCCUAACAAGUCAUGAUGGAUACGCUUCCCUGCUUGCAUUGCCUUCAAGCGCUUGCUAAUGAUAGGUGUAAGUGCAGCUCUCACUUCAUUGCUUAUCUCCUUCAUCCUUCUAGUUCUUUUGGUUGGCAAAUAUCUAGGUUUAACAAGUUUCAUAAAAAUUAAUGCAAGUAAAGGGAAUACUGAAAGAUUUUAUUUAAUAAAGAAACAGAAUAAAGAAAGAAAUAAGAACCUCAUUCCUGGGAGGUACAAAGUUUGUGCAGCUUGCAUCACUAGCUCUGCUUGUUCUUUCUGUAGUUGAAAUAUCUUUCUACCUUCUGCAUAGCUACUUCCGAAGGCUGUGCGUGAUAUGACAUCACUCGUUAGGGUCUCUAUAUAAGGCCAUACAUCCAACUCGCACUGCCCCUCUGUAGAAACCAUCUCCUUCCAUUUGCUCAUGAUCUCACUACAGCUCAAAUACAUGGCUGGCAGCAUAUCCUGUUAAUAAGCAUCAUAAAAAAGAAUCACAUUAGUAGUGAAUACCAUAUAGAAACUUAGACAAUAUCAUUUGUUGAGUUCUAUAGAGGAAUUUGUAUGGGGAUGACCUUUAACUUCUCCAAAUGGAAGGCAGGCUUCAUGAUUUUUCGGUGUUGGGUCCAUUUAUCACCCUCAGCAGUGACAAGUCCAUCUCCGAUUAACUUGGUUAAAGGGUUGCCACUCGGCUUCUGGAAGGUAAAGAUUUUAUUCAAGACCUCUUUUAUAAGAUCAGGAUCCGUGAUGUAGACUAAUGGUUUUGGUCCCAGCCAUACAAAUGACUUCUUUCCUGCAAGAAAGUAUAUAACAUGGUUGUAGGCAUUUAGAAACUGAAUAAAAUAUGUAAUAAUAAUCUAGCAGUGAAGAAAUUGCUUACCAUGUUUACUUAUAGCAGCAUGUACCGUUGGGGCUACAAGGGGUAGAAUAUCAUCAGAAAGACCGAUGCGUUUGGAUCUUGCUUGUUUCUUAAGAGCAGCAAGUUCUCUGAUGUCUCCAUACAAAAGCCUGUAGGAGUUACCUUUGAAGCCCUGGUCUCUCAGCAUCUUUUCGAGUUUCUUAGGCCUAAUCCAGACCCAGUUGAGUAGUCUCCAUGCAACCACCACCACAUAUGCCAAAAACAGGCUCCCUGUCACCUUGAAGCAGAUUUCUAACUCCAUAGCUUAGUGUGUAUGUUUCUGAGAAAGAUGGUGAGCAGGCAAGAUACUUAUAUGAUGCUUAAUUAUUCGUCCCUGGCAUCUUGUAAUUUAACUGAGAUUCUUAAUCAUGUUUACUUGGGUAUUUCCUCUGUGAGCCAUUUGUGUUUUGAUUAUUAAUUUUAACCAUUUUCAAAUUGUUCUUGCUUUCUUAUAUUUCAUGUUUGUCUUUAGUACAAUUCUGACCUUUUCUAAGAUAAUUAUGCUUGUCUUUAGAACGAAAACAAAUCUAAAAAUUCUUUUUGAAAAAGUCAUGCUAAAAUAUGUUGCUAGCCCAUAUCUUAUUCUUAUGUUAGAGAACCUGUAUUGUAUGUGUAAAACCUGCAAGUUAUUGGAUAAGUAAUGGGAAGACAAUAUUUUUUCCUUUAUUAGAUAACCAAACAUAAUGAUACACUUGAAAAGAACAAUUUCUUCAAGAGUUUGUUCAUUUUUGAUUACAAGCAAGCUUAGUUGAUGAAGGCAGGUCAUUUGAUGGCCUUCUUCUGCACCUUCAGAUACGCUGUUAACUUGUUUUCUGUAUCUUUCGGAUCAUGGACCUGUAAAGAAAAAACCUCAGACAGUAGUAGACAUUCCCUGCUAGGAGGAUCCGGUCCAUCACGAAAUAUAGCUGCUUUACAGGAACAAUCCUUCACACAAGCACUCUUACACGUUUUCACAUCAAUAUUGGACAUGGUGAAAUUAUUAGAUGAAAAGUAAUCGACAUCCUUAAGCUCUAAUAAAUCCUGAUAUUUUGAAGCAGAGCAAUUCAGAGGAGUUAUUUCAGCACAACCAAGAUUAGGAUGCUUUUCUUGCACCUCUCUGAAAUAUUGGACUCCACUGCUGCUUAAUCCAGGACAACUACAUUUCCCACUGGAGCAUAUACCAUAUUUUCCACACACCAGAGGGUAAGUACAUUUACCUGAAAACCCUGUGAGAAGAUCUGCUAUAACCUUCCAUUUCUCUUUCCAUUCGUAAACCCUCAAAUGCCCGUCGAAUUCCAGUCUCAUGUAUUGCACUGAUGAUGCUGGUGGAAUGGCAAAUAUUUCUAGUGGCGCCUGUUUCCAUGAAUGAGGAUAAAUGCCAAGGCUUCCAUUGAGGAACUUGACAUAACUAGGCUUUUUACUCUGCUCUGAAGUAGUCACAUAGUUAGUGUAAUAGUUCUGGGGAGGAUUGGACUGUAUAUAAGCAAAUACACCCUCAUCAUUCACAAGAAAAGAGUAUAUACUAACUCUACUAUCCGUCUUGGAAACACUUGAAAUAAGUUUCUGCCCAUCAGUGAGCGUCUGCCCCGGGACCAAAGCAUCAGUUGGAUGAUCAAAAGAUUGCCAAACCACCGCCUUGCGUUUACUGUGAAGUACUAGAUUUCCAGUGUCAGUUAAGGCCAAACCAGCAACAGAUUUACCAGCAGUUUUUGUAGACCAGGCUACAGAACCAUCAGCGUCUCGCAGCACCAAGUCACCAUCUGAUGUGAGCUUCAGAGUGGCAUUGAUUUUAACAGGAUGGUCUCGGUUGGCUGACCAGACAACUUGUGGGAAUGAAACAGUAGGUGAAACAAUCAUUGAGGCACUGUUUGUCUGAACAAGAAAGAUGGCCAAAAGAUAAGAGUCACAUUUUCCAUUACAGUAGAAGCCACAGGCAAAUCUUUGGCCUAAUGUUCCUCUUAUAAGAAUGGCUCUAACAGUUG